rnacentral:lncRNA from 1 species
UAAAAGAAGAGGGCAUGGUGACAAACAUUUCUGGAAUGCUUAUUUCUACUGGUUUACACACCUCCCCUAAUUGAUUCAUCUUAGCAGUCAAUAAAGUAGGAGAUGGAGCCUGUGCUCAAGAUCAGAGGCAGCCUCAUCUAGAGUUUAAUGGACAAUCUUUGGAGCAAUAUCACCCAGGUUUGAUUUUCUUUUUUUUUUUUUUUUGGGGAAGAUUAGCCCUGAGCUAACAUCUGCUGCCAAUCCUCCUCUUUUUGCUGAGGAAGA